rnacentral:tRNA from 1 species
GGCUCCAUCGUCUAGUGGCCUAGGACAUCGCCCUCUCACGGCGGGAACCGGGGUUCGAGUCCCCGUGGAGUCA